ACAGCAGUCGCCACGGGAACACGUAGGGUGCAAGCGUUAAUCGGAAUUACUGGGCGUAAAGCGUGCGCAGGCGGUUUGUUAAGACAGAUGUGAAAUCCCCGGGCUCAACCUGGGAACUGCAUUUGUGACUGGCAAGCUAGAGUGUGGCAGAGGGGGGUGGAAUUCCGCGUGUAGCAGUGAAAUGCGUAGAUAUGCGGAGGAACACCGAUGGCGAAGGCAGCCCCCUGGGCCAACACUGACGCUCAUGCACGAAAGCGUGGGGAGCAAACAGGAUUAGAUACCCGGGUAGUCCCUGUCUCUUAUAC
rnacentral:rRNA from 1 species